rnacentral:misc_RNA from 1 species
ACCACAUUGUAGUCUAUUUGCUCACUUCCUGGGGCAGAGUCCCAACUAGUACUUGAUUUUCUUCCAUGUUUCAAACACGUCUCCGCCGCACCAAUUCAAUCCUAGCAAAUGCUCUUUUUAAUUUUAUAUCACACCCAUUGAAGCCUGCUUCCCCUUCCCCUGCCCAAAACAAAAAAAACUAAAAAGCCCCAUCAUUUCUAGUUUCUCUCUGGCUAUUCCUCCUUCCUUCUCUUCCUCCAAUUCUUUCUUCCCUUUGAUCCUCUCUUCCCUUUACCAAAAUUCAAAACCCUAAAAUUUCUCUCUCUCUCUCUCUGGUCUUGUUACUGCCAAAAUCUCCUUAGACUAUAUAUACUAUAGGGACGGCAGUUCUUUUGCCUGAUCAUGCCUUUGUUUUGUACAAAUCAAAAGCUGCAAAAGGUUCUUUCGUUAUCAAAAGACCAGUAUUUUAGGGUUUUUUUUCUAAAAUUGAAAGACUGAACCCAUUUCUUUCUUCUCAAUUGUGAUUCUACCUGAAUAAUCUGAAGUCUUUUUUGGUUGCCAAACAGUCAGUUUUUCUUGCACAAUGUCUGAUGAUAUGUUGAUUCAUUUUUCCUCCAACUCUUCCAAUCAAUCAGACCAGUCCCUGCCUACCAAGAUUGCCAAACUCGAAGCUCGCAUGGUGGGUAAGGCCUCUUCUGUAGCCUCUACCCCCGCCCAACCUCAGCAACUGCAGCAGCAACCCACUUGGUCCUCUGUCUCUUCCGCAGUGAAAUUUGGGCCCGCCGAGGACUUAAGUGAGCAGAUGAGUUCCAGUGAUUCUGAUGAUUAUGUAAUCAUUCUUGGCCUGCUUUUUUGGAAGGCAUACGGUUUAGGUACAAAUUUCCCAUGGGAGAUACACUGACCUUUUUUUUUCCUCCAUUUUCCAGAAUGGAGGGGAGUUUCUUAUACAAGCGAAUACUCAGAAGCGCCAAAGAAUACAAGAAGAUAACAAUUCAUCUGCUUUUGAACAUCUUGAGAUGACCCAGGAAGUGGCUGAUGGAAGGCAAAAGAUUGUAGAAACCGUGGAGACAAAGACCAGUGUUGAUACAAAUAGGAGAAAACAAGGGCGUGGUAGAGGGCAUUCUGUUUCAGGUAGAGGUCGUGGUUCCAGGGGCAAUGAUCAGAUGAGAUCACAAAUUUCUUCUUCAAUGGCAUUAUCUCCAAAUGAUCAGCUUGAGAAUUCAUACCUCAAGGAUAAUAAGCAUAAAGACAACUUACACAAUGAUGGUUGCCCUCUAGUAGAGGAGGACAUUACUUCCCUACGUGCGAAAGUUGCAGCACUAGAGGAGCAGCUUCGUAAAUCUCGACAAGAGGCCUCUGAUAAUCAAAAUCUCUGUCAGCAAUUAGAAAAGGAAUUGAAGGAACUAAAAGAUUAUGAGCAACAAAUGAAGCCCAAGAGAACUAAAAUGAUAUCUGAUCUGCUGAUAUCUGUCUCAAAAGCAGAAAGACAGGAAGCUAGGAUGAAGGUCCGACAGGAUUCUUUAAGACUUGGCAACGUGGGUGUGAUCAGAGCUGGAACUGUCAUAUCUGAGACCUGGGAGGACGGGCAAGUGCUAAAAGAUCUAAAUACUCAUCUUGUAUGUUAUAGUCAGAUCUUUUUCUCUUUCUCUACAAAUCAGUUAAUUGUCUUUUUUAACCUCUAUUUUUCUCCUCAUUUUAUUUCUUUUUGAUUUUUGAUUUUUCUUUAUUUGCAUAUGUAUGAACCUGCUGAAAUUGUUUUUUUACCUGUAAUUUAUUUGUGGAACAUUCUAAAUACAUGAAACAUAACCAGGGUGUUACAAAAAAAACAAAGAAGACUGAUGACAGAUAUGGUUAAAUUCUUUUGUGUCGAAUAGUGAUCUUCAAGGAUAUUGCCCUCACUAUCCACCUUCUGGGCUUAGGCGUUGGUAGACUUGCUUCUUGUCAAUUUUAUUGCAGAUAAAAUUCUGUCCAUAUCAAAUUUUCUUAUGUGCCUAUCAUAUACUUCCACAAAUUAUUUGCCACUCAGGCACUCACAUAUGAUUUUUUUGGUGCCACAUUUUAUUCAAUUUCCUAUUUAACUUGUAUUGUUAUUUACCAUUUCAUCUGCCUGUAAGAAGUUUAUAGGAAGUUUAUAGUUUUUUCAUGUAUGUUUGUACCAAGAACUAAACCCUUAUAACUUACUAUUUUUGAGGUUUUGAAUACCAAAUCCUUAGAAGGUCUGCUUAAAUACUGGAAAAUGUCAGGUUUCUGUGAUAACUUGUGUCAAUGUGGCUUCACUGCUUUCUCAUAAUUGAUUAUGCAUUUUGAGCUGAAAAUUUGCAGGAGUUCCCCUCUUUGUAGUUUGCAAACUUGCAUUCUUCUGUGGUUGUACAAAUUUUCAUUCUUUUUUUUUUUUAAAAAAUAUUCUUCUGUUUCAUACUUUCAUUUGAAAUGAAUCAAAUUUAAAAAAAUAUGUUGACAAGCUCUCUCUUAAUAUGAUUGCUGAUAUAGGAUGUCUAGGAAGAGCUUUAUAAACCGAGAUCAAAUUUGAAUUUUGUUUUUAUACUAUAGCUUGAGUUUGAAACCAUAGAAACAAUAAAAUAUUCUAAGUGUGAUCCUACCUACAAUUUUUUAGGCAUGACGCCCAAGAUUACCAUUGGCAUGAUUCCUAGAAUUAGAAUUACAGCACAAAACUCAUGAAUAUUCACUGGAAAACUUAAAAAUAAAGAAUUGCAAACUUGGAUAUUCCGAAGCUCAUCCUGUGAGUAACUAAGUACUUUAACUCCUCAUCCUUAUUGGAUUUGGAUUUUGGACUGUUAUUAAGUUUGCAUGAUUCCAAUAAAACUCGAAACAUAAAUAAACUAAAUUUAGGACCCAUAAAACCAUAAUCAAUCCCUAGCAAAACUGACAAAAUUACUGAAAUAUCCCUGCUUAGUAAAAACACUUCUGCUGCUGUUGUACGGUGAACAUUAACUUGCUAACAAGGGAUGAAUCCAGGAUUAGAAUUUUAAGGGGGCUGAAAAUUUAUAAGUUAUAAUAUGAUCAAAAUUAUAUUUUAAUUACACCAUAUAUGCAUGUAAUUAGACAACACACAUAUAACACAAAAAUAUGUUUCAUAUAAUGUUAUUUUAAACACGAAAGUUGAGAAAGUACAUUAUGCAAAUUUGUUCAGGUUCUGCAUGAUGCUCUUCCAUAUCAUAAAAAUUCAUCUCUAAUUAUAUUUAUGCCAAAAUUUUCAGUAAUUAUCCUCUCAAUAUAAAUAAUCAAGCAAUUUGCCCAAAAAAAAAAAAGUCAUCCUCCAUCUUAUUUAUAAGCUUAAUUUUAAAUAGUCUGAAAUUGGAAAUAUUAAAGUUACUUCUUGCUUUAUGUUACCAAAGGUCAAAGUCAAAUUACAUGGUGUCAGAUGUAGCAAGUAUUAUUAAGUUACUAGUAUGGCUUGGGAACAAAACUUAAAGAUUUUGGGCUUGAGGGAGUUUGAGUCAUUUUGAGAAAAGAUAAAUUGCUCCCUAUAUUUUUAAUCGGAUAACACUUCACUUAAUAUUUUAACAAUUUAUUUUUGACUUUUGGGGGGCCUUCCUUAAUCUGUCCCUGUUGACAAACUUAGUAAUAUAAAUCCAAAUGGAGUUCCUUUAUUGUCUGUAUCAAUCGCAUUUUCAUUUUGUGAUCUAAUUUUGUUUAGAGACACUUAUUGGAAACAAAGGAGGCAGUUGAGCGGCAGAGGAAGUCAUUGAAGAAACGACAAUCUGACAAGGGAGAUGGAACAGAUGCAGAGUUAGGAGCACAAGAAGAUGAUUUUCUCAUCCAGGAUGAGAUUUUUAAAUCUCGUCUGGCAAGCAUUAAGCGUGAGGAAGAAAUUAUUUUGCGUGAGAGAGAUCGUUAUGAACUUGAAAAAGGACGUCUCAUACGUGAAAUGAAACGAAUACGAGACGAGGAUGGUUCCCAUUUUAAUAAUUUUCAGAUUUUGAAUCACCGAUAUGCCCUCCUAAACCUCCUUGGCAAAGGAGGAUUUAGUGAGGUUUACAAGGCUUAUGAUUUGGUAGAGCAUAGAUAUGUUGCAUGUAAGCUUCAUGGUCUAAAUGCUCAAUGGAGUGAGGAUAAGAAGCAAAGUUACAUAAGGCAUGCAAUACGGGAGUACAAUAUUCACAAGACGUUGGUGCAUAAUCACAUUGUUCGGCUUUGGGACAUUUUUGAGAUUGACCAGAAUACAUUCUGCACUGUCUUAGAGUAUUGUAGCGGAAAAGAUCUUGAUGCUGUGCUUAAAGCAACACCUAUAUUGCCUGAGAGAGAAGCUCGGAUCAUUAUUGUGCAGAUAUUUCAAGGCCUUGUAUACUUGAAUAAAAGAGCACAGAAGAUUAUCCAUUAUGAUCUGAAGCCCGGGAAUGUUCUAUUUGAUGAGUUUGGUGUUGCUAAAGUUACAGAUUUCGGUCUGAGCAAGAUUGUGGAGGAUGACAUUGGAUCCCAGGGAAUGGAACUUACAUCCCAGGGAGCUGGAACAUAUUGGUACUUGCCACCAGAAUGCUUUGAGCUCAGCAAGACUCCUUUAAUAUCAUCAAAGGUUGAUGUCUGGUCAGCUGGGGUUCUAUUUUACCAAAUGCUCUUUGGCAGACGUCCUUUUGGGCAUGACCAGACUCAAGAACGAAUAUUACGUGAAGACACAAUUAUCAAGGCUCGCAGGGUUGAGUUCCCUUCAAAGCCUUCUGUCUCUAAUGAGGCAAAGGAUUUUAUUCGCCGAUGUCUAACAUAUAACCAAACUGAGAGACCAGAUGUUCUAACUAUCGCUCAAGAUCAGUAUCUUACAUACUCAAAGAAGUAGUGUACAAAGGCUCAGAUAAGAAGGGUUGCAUGGGGCAGGAAAGCUGACAAUUUCUACCGAUCAAUACUUGAAAGGGGAAAAAAAAAGGUUGUUCAGCAAUACCAACUUGGAAUUUUGUAUAUGCUAUUAAAGGUUUUGUAAAAACUUUUCCCCUGGCUUUUGAGGGCAAGAUUUUAGUUCCCCUCCCCUCCUUUUGGGCUAAAGUUCAUUUUGGCAUCUUGAUUCGUUUGUUAUAACAGAUGCUUAUUAUAUUUUUGAGAGAGGAAAAAAGAAAAUGACCUGUACAGAAAAGUUUAUUUAAUUUUAAGGAAAUGGAGAGGGGAUGUUUAAUGCAUUGUAGCAUUUGAUUAAAACUUUAGAGACACCACUAGUUAGUUCUUGAGUUUUACUAUUAUUAAUAUUUAGGCUCUUUGUAUUUGAAAAAUAUAUUGUUUAAUCCCUCAGUUUUACUUUUGUCAUACAUUUAGAUCUUUUUAUCCUUUUUAUCUAUUUGGGCUGUUAGUAUUUAAGAUCAAUUACUG